rnacentral:rRNA from 1 species
AGAGUUUGAUUUUGGCUCAGGAUGAACGCUGGCGGCGUGCUUAACACAUGCAAGUCGAACGAAGCACUUUAUUUGAUUUCCUUCGGGACUGAUUAUUUUGUGACUGAGUGGCGGACGGGUGAGUAACGCGUGGGUAACCUGCCUUGUACAGGGGGAUAACAGUUGGAAACGGCUGCUAAUACCGCAUAAGCGCACGGCAUCGCAUGAUGCAGUGUGAAAAACUCCGGUGGUACAGGAUGGACCCGCGUCUGAUUAGCUGGUUGGUGAGGUAACGGCUCACCAAGGCGACGAUCAGUAGCCGGCUUGAGAGAGUGAACGGCCACAUUGGGACUGAGACACGGCCCAAACUCCUACGGGAGGCAGCAGUGGGGAAUAUUGCACAAUGGGGGAAACCCUGAUGCAGCGACGCCGCGUGAGUGAAGAAGUAUCUCGGUAUGUAAAGCUCUAUCAGCAGGGAAGAAAAUGACGGUACCUGACUAAGAAGCCCCGGCUAACUACGUGCCAGCAGCCGCGGUAAUACGUAGGGGGCAAGCGUUAUCCGGAAUUACUGGGUGUAAAGGGUGCGUAGGUGGUAUGGCAAGUCAGAAGUGAAAACCCAGGGCUUAACUCUGGGACUGCUUUUGAAACUGUCAGACUAGAGUGCAGGAGAGGUAAGCGGAAUUCCUAGUGUAGCGGUGAAAUGCGUAGAUAUUAGGAGGAACACCAGUGGCGAAGGCGGCUUACUGGACGAUAACUGACGCUGAGGCUCGAAAGCGUGGGGAGCAAACCAGGAUUAGAUACCCUGGUAGUCCACGCCGUAAACGAUGAUUACUAGGUGUUGGGAGAUUGACCCUCUCAGUGCAGCAGUUUACCCAAUAAGUAUUCCUCCUGGGGAGUCGGACCGCAAGGUUGAAACUCAAAGGAAUUGACGGGGGCCCCGCACAAGCAGUGGAAGUAUGUGGGUUUAAUUCGACGCAACGCGAAGAACCUUACCAAGUCUUGACAAUCCCUUGACGAUGCUGGAAACAGUAUUUCUCUUCGGAGCAAGGAGACAGGUGGUGCAUGGUUGUCGUCAGCUCGUGUCGUGAGAUGUUGGGUUAAGUCCCGCAACGAGCGCAACCCUUAUGGUCAGUUACUACGCAAGAGGACUCUGGCCAGACUGCCGUUGACAAAACGGAGGAAGGUGGGGAUGACGUCAAAUCAUCAUGCCCUUUAUGACUUGGGCUACACACGUACUACAAUGGCGUUAAACAAAGAGAAGCAAGACCGCGAGGUGGAGCAAAACUCAGAAACAACGUCCCAGUUCGGACUGCAGGCUGCAACUCGCCUGCACGAAGUCGGAAUUGCUAGUAAUCGUGGAUCAGCAUGCCACGGUGAAUACGUUCCCGGGCCUUGCACUCACCGCCCGUCA